rnacentral:rRNA from 1 species
GACGAACGCUGGCGGCGUGCUUAACACAUGCAAGUCGAACGAAAAGGCCCUGCUUUUGUGGGGUGCUCGAGCGGCGAACGGGUGAGUAACACGUGAGUAACCUGCCCUUGACUUUGGGAUAACUUCAGGAAACUGGGGCUAAUACCGGAUAGGAGCUCCUGCUGCAUGGUGGGGGUUGGAAAGUUUCGGCGGUUGGGGAUGGACUCGCGGCUUAUCAGCUUGUUGGUGGGGUAGUGGCUUACCAAGGCUUUGACGGGUAGCCGGCCUGAGAGGGUGACCGGCCACAUUGGGACUGAGAUACGGCCCAGACUCCUACGGGAGGCAGCAGUGGGGAAUAUUGCACAAUGGGCGGAAGCCUGAUGCAGCAACGCCGCGUGCGGGAUGACGGCCUUCGGGUUGUAAACCGCUUUCGCCUGUGACGAAGCGUGAGUGACGGUAAUGGGUAAAGAAGCACCGGCUAACUACGUG